rnacentral:rRNA from 1 species
GAUGAACGCUGGCGGCGUGCCUAAUACAUGCAAGUCGAGCGAACAGACGAGGAGCUUGCUCCUCUGACGUUAGCGGCGGACGGGUGAGUAACACGUGGAUAACCUACCUAUAAGACUGGGAUAACUUCGGGAAACCGGAGCUAAUACCGGAUAAUAUAUUGAACCGCAUGGUUCAAUAGUGAAAGACGGUUUUGCUGUCACUUAUAGAUGGAUCCGCGCCGCAUUAGCUAGUUGGUAAGGUAACGGCUUACCAAGGCAACGAUGCGUAGCCGACCUGAGAGGGUGAUCGCCCACCCUGGAACUGCGACCCGGUCCAGACUCCUACGGGAGGCAGCAGUAGGGAAUCUUCCGCAAUGGGCGAAAGCCUGACGGAGCAACGCCGCGUGAGUGAUGAAGGUCUUCGGAUCGUAAAACUCUGUUAUUAGGGAAGAACAAAUGUGUAAGUAACUAUGCACGUCUUGACGGUACCUAAUCAGAAAGCCACGGCUAACUACGUG